UACAGAGGGUGCGAGCGUUAAUCGGAAUUACUGGGCGUAAAGGGUGCGUAGGUGGUUAUGUAAGUUAGAUGUGAAAUUUCCGGGCUUAACCUGGGAACUGCGUCUGAUACUGGAUAGCUAGAGUUCUGUAGAGGAAAGCGGAAUUUCCGGUGUAGCAGUGAAAUGCGUAGAUAUCGGAAGGAACAUCAGUGGCGAAGGCGGCUUUCUGGACAGAGACUGACACUGAGGCACGAAAGCGUGGGGAGCAAACAGG
rnacentral:rRNA from 1 species